rnacentral:rRNA from 1 species
AGUAACACGUAGAUAACCUGCCCUUUAGUGGGGAAUAACAGCUCGAAAGAGUUGCUAAUACCGCAUACGCUCUCUGAUGAUAGUCAGAGAGGAAAGCUUUAGUGCUGAAGGAGGGGUCUGCGGCGGAUUAGCUAGUUGGUGGGGUAAAGGCCUACCAAGGCGACGAUCCGUAGCUGGUCUGAGAGGACGGCCAGCCACACUGGGACUGAGACACGGCCCAG